rnacentral:tRNA from 1 species
GGGGCUAGGGCUCAGUGGUGGAGCACUCGCCCGGCACGCGUGAAGCACUGGGUUCGAUCCUCAGCACCA